CAGCAGCCGCGGUAAUACGUAGGUGGCAAGCGUUGUCCGGAAUUAUUGGGCGUAAAGGGCUCGCAGGCGGUUUCUUAAGUCAGAUGUGAAAGCCCCCGGUUCAACCGGGGAGGGUCAUUGGAAACCGGGAAACUUGAGUGCAGAAGAGGAGAGUGGAAUUCCACGUGUAGCGGUGAAAUGCGUAGAGAUGUGGAGGAACACCAGUGGCGAAGGCGACUCUCAGGUCUGUAACUGACGCUGAGGAGCGAAAGCGUGGGGGGCGAACAGGAUUAGAUACCCCUGUAGUCCCUGUCUCUUAUAC
rnacentral:rRNA from 1 species